rnacentral:rRNA from 1 species
AACGAACGCUGGCGGCGCGCCUAAUACAUGCAAGUCGAGCGAGAAGGUGUAGCAAUACACUUGUAAAGCGGCGAACGGGUGAGGAAUGCAUGGGUAACCUACCCUCGAGUGGGGAAUAACUAGCCAAAAAGGUUAGCUAAUACCGCAUACGUUUCCGGAACUUCGGUUUCGGAAAGAAAGCAAUACCGUGGGUAUUGCGCUCCUGGAUGGGCUCAUGUCCUAUCAGCUUGUUGGUGAGGUAACGGCUCACCAAGGCUUCGACGGGUAGCUGGUCUGAGAGGACGAUCAGCCACACUGGCACUGCGACACGGGCCAGACUCCUACGGGAGGCAGCAGUAAGGAAUAUUGCGCAAAUGGACGAAAAGUCUGACGCAGCGACGCCGCGUGGGGGAUGAAGGUCUUCGGAUUGUAAACCCCUUUCGGAGGGGAAG